rnacentral:rRNA from 1 species
UACGAAGGGGGCUAGCGUUGCUCGGAAUUACUGGGCGUAAAGGGCGCGUAGGCGGCACUGUUAGUCAGGCGUGAAAGUCCUGGGCUCAACCUGGGAACUGCGCUUGAUACGGCAGAGCUAGAGGAUGGAAGAGGCUCGCGGAAUUCCCAGUGUAGGGGUGAAAUUCGUAGAUAUUGGGAAGAACACCGGUGGCGAAGGCGGCGAGCUGGUCCAUUACUGACGCUGAGGCGCGACAGCGUGGGGGAGCAAACAGG